rnacentral:tRNA from 1 species
UGUGGAAAAGAAUAAUGGAGGCUCGCCAAGUUCAUCAUCUGGAUUGUGCAGGUUCAAAUCCUGCUCCCGUAA